AAGGGUGGCGUAGGCGGCCUGUUAAGUCAGGGGUGAAAGACGGUAGCUCAACUAUCGCAGUGCCCUUGAUACUGAUGGGCUUGAAUUGACUAGAGGUAGGCGGAAUGUGACAAGUAGCGGUGAAAUGCAUAGAUAUGUCACAGAACACCGAUUGCGAAGGCAGCUUACUAUGGUCUUAUUGACGCUGAGGCACGAAAGCGUGGGGAUCAAACAGGAUUAGAUACCCCAGU
rnacentral:rRNA from 1 species